rnacentral:rRNA from 1 species
CCUACGGGAGGCAGCAGUGAGGAAUAUUGGUCAAUGGCCGGAAGGCUGAACCAGCCAUGCCGCGUGAAGGUCAGUGCCCUAUGGGCGUUAAACUUCUUUUGUGCGGGAGCAAUAAUGGUCACGUGUGGCCAGACGAGAGUACCGUACGAAUAAGCAUCGGCUAACUCCGUGCCAGCAGCCGCGGUAAUACGGGGGAUGCAAGCGUUAUCCGGAUUUAUUGGGUUUAAAGGGUGCGUAGGCUGUGAGGUAAGUCAGCGGUGAAAUGCCCCCGCGCAACGGGGUGAAGUGCCAUUGAUACUGCCUGGCUGGAAUGCGGAUGCCGUGGGAGGAAUGUGUGGUGUAGCGGUGAAAUGCAUAGAUAUCACACAGAACACCGAUUGCGAAGGCAUCUCACGAAUCCGCGAUUGACGCUGAUGCACGAAAGCGUGGGUAUCAAACAGGAUUAGAUACCCGUGUAGUC